rnacentral:rRNA from 1 species
CACUCCUACGGGAGGCAGCAGUGGGGAAUAUUGCACCAUGGGCGCAAGCCUGAUGCAGCCAUGCCGCGUGUAUGAAGAAGGCCUUCGGGUUGUAAAGUACUUUCAGCGGGGAGGAAGGCGAUAAGGUUAAUAACCUUGUCGAUUGACGUUACCCGCAGAAGAAGCACCGGCUAACUCCGUGCCAGCAGCCGCGGUAAUACGGAGGGUGCAAGCGUUAAUCGGAAUUACUGGGCGUAAAGCGCACGCAGGCGGUCUGUCAAGUCGGAUGUGAAAUCCCCGGGCUCAACCUGGGAACUGCAUUCGAAACUGGCAGGCUAGAGUCUUGUAGAGGGGGGUAGAAUUCCAGGUGUAGCGGUGAAAUGCGUAGAGAUCUGGAGGAAUACCGGUGGCGAAGGCGGCCCCCUGGACAAAGACUGACGCUCAGGUGCGAAAGCGUGGGGAGCAAACAGGAUUAGAAACCCGGGUAGUCCCAUGA